AACACAACACCCAAAACACAGACACUUUGAAGCUUCCACUUCUCAGUUCCAACAAAACGCAUAUGGAUUUGAUUUCAUCUUUUAAUAUGAAAGCCACCCAGAUUUUAAUUCCAGCAAUCACAAACUCGAGUAGCUUCUCAGCUUCACUUCGUAACUCUAAAUUCCCAGUUCCAAACAAGUCCUGUACCGUCCAUGCCAGGAAGAGAAACUCAAACUCAAACUCCGACUCACUUCCCCAAAAAAAUUUAGUUGAAGAAGUAUUAUUAGACGAAGAGGAAGAUGUUCUUUUUGAAGACUUUGAAGAUGAGGAAGUAAUGGACGGUGAUGAUGGUGGUGAUUAUUUUGAAGAUGAGUAUGCGGAAGAGGAUAGCGAAAUCUAUGCUGGCGAUGGAGGUGAAGGAGGUGGAAUAUCCCUUGCUGGGACUUGGUGGGAUAAAGAAGCUUUGGCUAUGGCUGAAGAUGUCUGUCUGUCUUUUGAUGGUGUCUUGAAAAUAUACGCAUUUAAGACUACGUUAAAUUGCAUCAUUCGAGUGCGCAUUGAGAACAUGUCAAAGAAAUCAGGUUCCCCAAAUAUGGAAGAUAUUGAAGCCUUUUCUGCAUCCUAUAGAGCUAAACUAGAUGAAGCAGAGAUUGCGAAAUCCAUACCCGAGAACAUGUCUUUGGAGGUGUCAUCUCCCGGUGUUGAAAGGGUAGUUAGAAUUCCACAAGAGCUGGAACGGUUCAAGGAUCGACCUAUGUAUGUGAAAUAUGUCAGUGAAGUGGCUGCAACAGGUUCAUCUUCAGAAAGUGAUGGUGUUUUCAGGCUUAUCUCUUUUGACCUGGAAACAAAUUGUUGCACCUGGGGUUUGGCAGAUGUGAGAAUAAACAGAGAAAAAGCAGGGAAAGGAAGACCACUCAGCAGAAAGCAACGAGACUGGCGUUUGGAUACAACCUUUGAUUCCUUGUGUUUCGUCCGAUUGCACUCUGAUUGUUGAAUUUUGUUCUCCAGUUAUUUUUUCAUCCAUUAAAUCAUGUGUAUUCAUAGGAAACUCCAUAAUGUAGCCAGGUAUGCUAACAUAAUGAGUUCUUAGGAUGCCAUCGGACAGGACCAAUCCCUAUAUGAGUUGUUUAUGUACAUACUUUAAUAAAAUUCUGUCUUUUGUUCUAUAUACUACUGAUUUUAUAUGGAUGAAUUGAAUUAAAAAAAUGAAAUGAGAAGGAUAAAACUGAUGAAGUUUGGAAGUUACGGGGUCAAGAUUAGAAGAAUAAGAAAAAAAGGUACGAAUAAAACUACUAGUUAGCAUAAUAGGUAAAGUUUUAUAGAGGUUUCCUGGCCCUGGUUUAAAAAUCUUCAGUUUGUUCUCAGAACUUCUUCACCUCCUUGACUAGUCCUAGAAACUGAAAAUAAAUAUAUAGGAUUCUGUUAGCAUUAGCUAUUUAUCGGGACAGUUGCAAGUUUAUAUGGAUUUUUGUCUCACUUUAUUGCUGAAAUAAACCAAGGAUGUUGUAUCCUCUGAUGCAGUGACAUUUGAAAAUGAAAAGUAAGGUUUUACUAGUCUAUGAGAUGGUGCAAGUUCUGUUUCGUCUUCAUGGCAUCCUUUCUAGUUACCUGGAAAUUAAGAUACAGGAACCUUCCAAAUUGCUGGAAAGAGGGCUUAGGGCUGAAAGUUUAAGCAGCAAGUAGCUCAGGCCUGCCACAAAUCCUUCUGCAUCCUCUGAGGCUGCUAAUAGUGAUCCAGGAUUAGAUCCGGUAGUUCUGGUCAUUUUAUCCUUUGAGCCAAAACAUAACAUGAUCUGAAAAUUUCCUGUGUCAGAUUGCUCUAACAGUCUAACUGCCUGCAUACUACCAUUGAGUUGCAAUUUUUUUCCGACUUCUCAUUGUAAUUUCUGUAUCUUUGUAAUAUGUCCGUUGGCUGUGUGGCAGAUUUUUUUUUUUUUUCUAAAAAUAUGUUCUAGUGUUGAUUAAAUUUGAAUAAG